GACGAACGCUGGCGGCGUGCUUAACACAUGCCAGUCGAACGGAAAGACCCUGCUUUUGUGGGGUGCUCGAGUGGCGAACGGGUGAGUAACACGUGAGUAUCCUGCCCUUGACUUUGGGAUAACUUCAGGAAACUGGGGCUAAUACCGGAGAGGAGCUCCUGCAGCAUGGUGGGGGUUGGAAAGUUUCGGCGGUUGGGGAUGGACUCGCGGCUUAUCAGCUUGUUGGUGGGGUAGUGGCUGACCAAGUCUUUGACGGAUAGGCGGCCUGAGCGCGGGACCGGCCACAUUGGGACUGAGAGAGGGCCCAGACUGCUACGGGAGGCAGCAGUGGGGAAUAUUGCACAAUGGGCGGAAGCGUGAUGCAGCAGCGCCGCGUGCGGGAUGACGGCCUUCGGGGUGUAAACCGCUUUCGCCUGUGACGAAGCGUGAGUGACGGUAAUGAGUAAAGAAGCACCGGCUAACUACGUG
rnacentral:rRNA from 1 species